rnacentral:rRNA from 1 species
ACUUAAGCAUAUCAAUAAGCGGAGGAAAAGAAACUAACAAGGAUUCCCCUAGUAACUGCGAGUGAAGCGGGAAAAGCUCAAAUUUGAAAUCUGGCAGCUUUCCACUGUCCGAGUUGUAAUCUAGAGAAGUGUUACCAGUGCUGGACCGUGUACAAGUCUCCUGGAAUGGGGCAUCAUAGAGGGUGAGAAUCCCGUCUUUGACACGGACUACCUGUACGUUCAUGGUGUGCUCUCAAAGAGUCGAGUUGUUUGGGAAUGCAGCUCAAAAUGGGUGGUAAAUGCCAUCUAAAGCUAAAUAUUGGCGAGAGACCGAUAGCGAACAAGUACCGUGAGGGAA